UACGUAGGGUGCAAGCGUUGUCCGGAAUUAUUGGGCGUAAAGAGCUCGUAGGCGGUCUGUCGCGUCUGCUGUGAAAACUCAGGGCUUAACCCUGAGCUUGCAGUGGGUACGGGCAGACUAGAGUGCGGUAGGGGAGACUGGAAUUCCUGGUGUAGCGGUGAAAUGCGCAGAUAUCAGGAGGAAUACCGGUGGCGAAGGCGGCAUCCUGGACCGGCAUUGACGCUGAGGAGCGAAAGCCAGGGGAGCAAACGGG
rnacentral:rRNA from 1 species